rnacentral:lncRNA from 1 species
CGGGAAGACUGCUUGAGCCCGGAGUUCAAGGCCAGCCUGGGCAAUAUAGCAAGACCUCAUCUCUACAUUAAUUAAUUAAUUACUUAAAGAAAUACUUAUUACUCCUGGACCCCUUAAAGUGUGGUCCAAUGGCAGGCACAGAAAAUGGCCAAUAAGUAGUUUUGGGGUUGGCUGGACCAUUCACCUAAAACUCCUAUGUUGAUACCCAGUCACCAAAGUGAUGGUAUUAGAAAAUAGGGACUUUAGGAGGUGACUAGGUCAUGAGGGCUCCGUCCUCAUGAAUGGGGUUCAUGUCCUUAUGAAAGAGGCCCCAGAGAGCUGCCUUCGCUUCCGCCAUGUGAGGAUGAAGUGAGAAGGCGCCAUCUAUGAAGCAGAGAACCCUCAAAUGUACAUGUACCCCUGAACUUAAAAGAUGAAAAGAAAAAUAAAUUGAUGUUCAAGUUUGUCACAGGUGACCCUUAAAGUCCUCCUAAUGGCUUGACUACUUUGUUAUCAGAUUUAUAUAUAUAUAUAUAUUCUUUUUGAGAUGGAGUUUCUCUCUUGUUGCUCACGCUGGAGUGCAAUGGUGUUAUCACGGCUCAUUGCAAACUCCGCCUCCCAGUUUCAAGUGAUUCUCCUGCCUCAGCCUCCCACGUAGCUGGGAUUACAGGCAUGUGCCACCAUGCCCGGCUAAUUUUGCAUUUUUAGUAAGGAUGGGGUUUCAUCAUGUUGGUCAGGCUGGUCUCAAACUCCUGACCUCAGGUGAUCUGCUCACCUCGGCCUCCCAAAGUGCUGGGAUUACAGGCAUGAGCCACCGCGCCCAGCCAACAAAUAUAUAUUUUUAAAUGGAGGUGAGCUGCAUUACAGAAUUACAAGUAUAGUACUAGUUAAUUCAAUGGAA